rnacentral:lncRNA from 1 species
AUCACUCUGGAUUUCUGCUCAUAGUAUAGUUGAUAGUGCGUCAGCACUCGCGAAACCAAAUCCGUCAUUUCCUUCUCCCCGUAUUCACCACAAUUCCGCUCCGUCGUUAAAAGCUCGUCUAGGUAGUGCUCCUGACUAACCAUCCACCGUUGAAGAAACCUCUCAAAUAGAACCACACUACUAUUAUUCUCUGCCAUUUUCCCUCACACCCCACUAAUUUGAAGUCUCAAUUUAUGUACACAGACAGUGGAAGGAGUAUGAAGAUCGGGCGAAUGUAGGAAGCUGGAGUAAAUGUGAUUACCGUCAUCAACUUAUGAGUUGGCCUGUGGCGCUUUUCUUACUGGAAAAUAUCUUUCUGGCAUACACUCCCGGUAGGCAAGUGACAGCUGGACAAGCUAGGGACCGACUCAAUAUCCAGCUAGUGAGACGCAUGUGACGGGGUUGGGACAGAAAACCCCUUACUCCCUGAUCAGAGGUGGGAUACUCUUGGUGGAGCAGAGUGGCAGACGGUGGCCGUCUAACUCCACCGCUUCUCCUCUUUCACACAUACAUACUCUCUGAGAAAAUCUGGUUCGGUGCAAUUCGUCGGGAUGUGAGCAUUCUUCCUCUGCAAGUACCUGGAUGGUCGCUCCUAUAUAAUAAUGUUAUAUUUAUGCGUAUCCGUAUAUAUAGACUAUAGAUACACGUCCAUCCUUUCUGCACCUCUUCUCUUUAAGUAUUUAAUACAAUAGAUUAAUAUUUGUUCCUCCUGGCAAAUCAUAUUGCAUGUUUUGUUUCCAAU